AGUGAACGCUGGCGGUAGGCCUAACACAUGCAAGUCGAACGGCAGCACAGUAAGAGCUUGCUCUUACGGGUGGCGAGUGGCGGACGGGUGAGGAAUACAUCGGAAUCUACUUUUUCGUGGGUGAUAACGUAGGGAAACUUACGCUAAUACCGCAUACGACCUACGGGUGAAAGCAGGGGAUCUUCGGACCUUGCGCGAUUGAAUGAGCCGAUGUCGGAUUAGCUAGUUGGCGGGGUAAAGGCCCACCAAGGCGACGAUCCGUAGCUGGUCUGAGAGGAUGAUCAGCCACACUGGAACUGAGACACGGUCCAGACUCCUACGGGAGGCAGCAGUGGGGAAUAUUGGACAAUGGGCGCAAGCCUGAUGCAGCAAUACCGCGUGAGUGAAGAAGGCCUUCGGGUUGUAAAGCCCUUUUGUUGGGAAAGAAAAGCAGCAGGUUAAUACCCCGCUGUUCUGACGGUACCCAAAGAAAAAGCACCGGCUAACUUCGUG
rnacentral:rRNA from 1 species